UACGGGGGGGGCAAGCGUUGUUCGGAAUUACUGGGCGUAAAGGGCUCGUAGGCGGCCAACUAAGUCGGACGUGAAGUCCCCAGGCUCAACCUGGGAACUGCGUCCGAUACUGGAUGGCUUGAAUCCGGGAGAGGGAUGCAGAAUUCCAGGUGUAGCGGUGAAAUGCGUAGAUAUCUGGAGGAAUACCGGUGGCGAAGGCGGCAUCCUGGACCGGCAUUGACGCUGAGGAGCGAAAGCCAGGGGAGCAAACGGG
rnacentral:rRNA from 1 species